rnacentral:rRNA from 1 species
CGAACGCUGGCGGCAGGCUUAACACAUGCAAGUCGAGCGGGCAUAGCAAUAUGUCAGCGGCAGACGGGUGAGUAACGCGUGGGAACGUACCUUUUGGUUCGGAACAACUGAGGGAAACUUCAGCUAAUACCGGAUAAGCCCUUACGGGGAAAGAUUUAUCGCCGAAAGAUCGGCCCGCGUCUGAUUAGCUAGUUGGUGAGGUAAUGGCUCACCAAGGCGACGAUCAGUAGCUGGUCUGAGAGGAUGAUCAGCCACAUUGGGACUGAGACACGGCCCAAACUCCUACGGGAGGCAGCAGUGGGGAAUAUUGGACAAUGGGCGCAAGCCUGAUCCAGCCAUGCCGCGUGAGUGAUGAAGGCCCUAGGGUUGUAAAGCUCUUUUGUGCGGGAAGAUAAUGACGGUACCGCAAGAAUAAGCCCCGGCUAACUUCGUG